rnacentral:rRNA from 1 species
GAUGAACGCUGGCGGCGUGCCUAAUACAUGCAAGUCGAGCGAACAGAUGAUGAGCUUGCUCCUCUGACGUUAGCGGCGGACGGGUGAGUAACACGUGGAUAACCUACCUAUAAGACUGGGAUAACUUCGGGAAACCGGAGCUAAUACCGGAUAAUAUAUUGAACCGCAUGGUUCAAUAGUGAAAGACGGUUUUGCUGUCACUUAUCGAUGGAUCCGCGCCGCAUUAGCUAGUUGGUAAGGUAACGGCUUACCAAGGCAACGAUGCGUAGCCGACCUGAGAGGGUGAUCGGCCACACUGGAACUGAGACACGGUCCAGACGACUACGGGAGGCAGCAGUAGGGAAUCUUCCGCAAUGGGCGAAAGCCUGACGGAGCAACGCCGCGUGAGUGAUGAAGGUCUUCGGAUCGUAAAACUCUGUUAUUAGGGAAGAACAAAUGUGUAAGUAACUAUGCACGUCUUGACGGUACCUAAUCAGAAAGCCACGGCUAACUACGUG